rnacentral:rRNA from 1 species
UACGAAGGGGGCUAGCGUUGCUCGGAAUCACUGGGCGUAAAGCGCACGUAGGCGGCUUCUUAAGUCAGGGGUGAAAUCCUGGAGCUCAACUCCAGAACUGCCCUUGAUACUGAGGAGCUUGAGUCCGGGAGAGGUGAGUGGAACUGCGAGUGUAGAGGUGAAAUUCGUAGAUAUUCGGAAGAACACCAGUGGCGAAGGCGACUUACUGGACGAUUGUUGACGCUGAGGUGCGAAAGCGUGGGGAGCAAACAGGG